rnacentral:rRNA from 1 species
AACGAACGCUGGCGGCAGGCUUAACACAUGCAAGUCGAACGAGAUGCUUUCCUUCGGGAAGGUUGACAGUGGCAGACGGGUGAGUAACACGUGGGAAUUUGCCCAGGAGUUCGGAACAACCCGGGGAAACUCGGGCUAAUACCGGAUACGCCCUUUGGGGAAAGAUUUAUCGCUCCUGGAUAAGCCCGCGCCGGAUUAGCUUGUUGGUGAGGUAAAAGCUCACCAAGGCGACGAUCCGUAGCUGGUCUGAGAGGAUGAUCAGCCACACUGGGACUGAGACACGGCCCAGACUCCUACGGGAGGCAGCAGUGAGGAAUCUUGGACAAUGGGGGCAACCCUGAUCCAGCCAUGCCGCGUGAGGGAAGAAGGCCUUAGGGUUGUAAAUCUCUUUCAGCGGGGAAGAUAAUGACGGUACCCGCAGAAGAAGCUCCGGCUAAACUCCGUGCCAGCCGCCGCGGUAAU